rnacentral:misc_RNA from 1 species
UCGCCAUGGCCGCCGUCACCU